rnacentral:ncRNA from 1 species
UCAAUUGUUCCUCAACUUACACAUGCAAGUCUCAGCACACCCGUGAGAAAGCCCUUAAACCUUCCCCAGGCCAAGGAGCCGGCAUCAGGCACAACCCAAUUGCCCACAACACCUAGUCUCACCACACCCCCAAGGGUAAUUCAGCAGUGAUAAACUUUGCGCAUAAGCGACAGCUUGACUCAGUUAGAGAAAAGAGAGCCGGCUAACCUGGUGCCAGCCGCCGCGGCUACACCCUGGGGCUCAAGUUGAUAACCACCGGCGUCAAGCGUGAUUAAAGCUUGCGUAAAUUAGGGUUAAAUUGACACUUAGUAGUUUAAAGCUUGUCAUCAAGAAAACCAUAAACGAAAGUUACCCUAAUUAUAAUACUUGAAUACACGACAGCUGGGAAGACAAACUAGGAUCAGAUACCCUACUAUGCCCAGCCGUAAACAAUUAACUUACACCAACCAGCGCCAGGGGAUUACGAGCCAUGCUUAAAACCCAAAGGACUUGACGGUGUCCCAUUCCCCCUAGAGGAGCCUGUUCUAUAAUCGAUGAUCCCCGCUAUACCCGACCAUUCCUAGCUCCAGUCUGUAUACCUCCGUCGAAAGUCUACCCUAUGAACGCAAAGUAGGUCUAAUGGGACCCACCCCAAUACGUCAGGUCAAGGUGCAACUCACGGGAUGGAAAGUAAUGGGCUACAAUUUCUAAUAUAGAAUAAACGAAAGACUAUGUGAAACCAUGGUCACGAAGGUGGAUUUAAUAGUAAAAAGAAAAUAGAGUGUUCUUUUUAACCCGGCUCUGGGACGCGUACACACCGCCCGUCACCCUCUUCAAUAGCUUUACUUCACGUUAAUAACUUCUUACCCGCGCCUU